GCGGGCGCGCCGCGCGGCAGACGCGCCGUCAGUCAUACGCGAGCGGCGACGCGUUCGAGUCCCGCUGUUCGGCGGAGCGCUUUUGAAGUUCAGUCUAUUUGAGAAACGGAAGUGCGACGGGAAAAAUAUAUAAUCAUCGCAAAGUCAAGAGCUUCAAAACGCGCGUCUGUUCUGCCGGUGUCGCUCUCCCGCGAGGGUGGAAACGGCGGGAAGACAUCGGGGAACAAAGACACGAUUUCAUUAAGGAGAAACUGCUAACGAAGAGGCGUCGUUAAGUGUCCAGUGUUGCACCGUUGUUUUACUGGGAAAAUCGUUUCAACUGCAUUUCAGUGGAUGGGGAACAUGACCCAGGUAGCUACCUGCUAACAGAACUCCAGCCCUGAUAUCACCUUCGCUAUACAUACACACAUACCUCGAGGAUACCGCUGGAUGUCAAGGAGAUUAAUUGAGGCAAGAUGGGGUUGAGGAUGGGGGGGGGGGGGGGGGGCAACACGAGAGCUGCGAGCUUGCUGCACUGGAGCCAUCCUGCAGGAACCCCCCACCUCGAGCCAUCCAUCAGCGCCCCGCAUCGGGACGAGCAUUAAACCCCAAGUGUCAUGUGACCCUCCACAGGCGAGAUUCACAUUCUAGUGGCGCUUCUCAGUAUGCGUACUCGACCGUACUUGUGUUCUUGUGUACCCGUUUUAAGUCAUCUUUCAUUGUCAAAGACCAAUUCCGAUACUCAAGAAUAGAAGUACAGAAGACGGUAAAAAUCUCCGGAUGUCGUUUUUGCGCCACCUCAAAUAUCAAGGAUACAUCGGUUGCAUCCUCACCAAACGAGGCCAAUCCCAUGAUUCAUUGCGCCCCUAGUUUGUUCUUGGAAGGUAAGUUGGCAAGACCGGUUUUGCCAAGACGAUAACUACGAUCUUUGCAUUCUUGGUGUUGAGCAACACUCUCAGUUUCUGGUAAUCGCUACUGGAGAUAUCACAGUCAUUAAGUCAGUACUUGACCCCACUGACCUUCUUAUAGAAGCCAAUCAUUUCGCCCACUGGUGAACAUGUGUCUGUUUCGCCGCUUUCUAUAGCUGAACCAUAAAGUUUGUUCACCUACCAACACGCGCCUUGUUGAGGAAAGCUAACAUUUCAGGGGUUUUCCCCAGGAAAGACUAGAGGGACUUAAGGCUGCCAUUACAGAUGAAACCAGGCCCCAAGGGUUCUGACCAAUCCGGGAGUAACGUUUGACCCUCUGUGAAAAUGCAAGAUAAAACACACCAGUCAGGAGAGAGCAAAUGGAGACAUGCACAGAUAAUUAUUUAUAGAUAGGCAAGAUGGAGAAACUGACUAGAAAUUUUCAUAAAAAGAGCGAACAAAAUCAUAAAAAUCUUUGAUCUUCCUGUUUCUUAAUUACACAACAAAGCCCUGAAUGAAUGAGGGAAAUGUCAGCGGUUACGGAACCUCCUACUGCCUGAGCUGUCCUGUCAAGCGGUCAUCUUGCCAGUGGACAUGACCGCGGCACUGACCCCAGAACAGCCGUGCAGGCAGAACUGACCGAUAGCCGGCCUGUCAGCACUGACCCUGAGCAGCAGGCCCAACGGGAGGCCAGAGGACAAACUACAAAGUACAAAGGCUGAAAGGAUCUAUUACCCUCCCCUGGGUAAAUGUUGUUGCUUAUUUUGGGGUGGAGGGUCAAGUUUGGCAAAAGUCAAAAGUUGAGAUAUGUGCAAUACGGUGGGAAAUUCCUCUGAAAUGAUCUUCAGUGUUUUUUUCUGUUUUCAAGCCUUGUACAUCUAUUAUUUUAACCCAACUAUCCAGUGAAUCGGUAGGCUUUAGAAACACAAUUGGCUUUAAAAAAGAACCUCUUUAACCUUAACACAGUAUACUUAGAUUUUGUUGCUGAUGUCUGGAUGACACAGGCCAAUGUGCCCCCCCCUGUGAAUCUCUAGUAUAUCAGGACUGUCAUUCUAUCACCUAAGCCCUGACUUCUAAUCAUAAGAUAACUGAAAUACAUCAUGAUACAGUAUUAAAUCUUCAUAUUGUGUUUUUAUGUUUCGGCUAAUCUCAGACACAUAUAAGCAGAAUCAACCAACAUCUUGUGAGUGACUCAUUCCCUAUGAAGGAAUGCAUGUAAUAGGAAAUAGCUAAUAGGUAUCUGACACAGUUACUCAGUCCUGGAGCUUACUGAGAGAUCACCAUCAGUGCGUAAUAGGUGGCGGGUCCCCUCUGUGUUUGGACUGUCCAAUCCACCUGCAUGCUGCGUUUUUGCCAGAUGUUUGAUGCGCUGCCUCCCACAGAGCACCAUGGGAACUGCAGUGAGCAGAUGAUCAGGUGAAUGAUUGGUCCAUCCUCAGGGCUGGGCAUUGUAGACUGCAAAACUAACGCCUAUAAACCCCUCAAAAUAAGGAGGAUUCAGUUAGAUUGAUGCAAAAUACACGCAGUUGGGCUAAUCGAUCUCUAAAUUGCCUGUAGACUACGACUGAGAAUCUGAGUGUGUGCAUGCAUGUGUUCUGCCAUCCCGUCCAGGGCGUCCCCAGCCCUGCGCUGCCUGGGACAGGCUCCAGACCCCCCUGCUAGCCUGCCAGGAUAAGCGCUUAUAAGCCGGGUGGAUGUUUUCCAUUGCCAUGCCAAGCAAAGCCGCUCCACAAAAGCAUUAACUGAUGUUUUGGUAGUGCUACAGGCGAGAUCCACAGCGGAGUAUGACCUGUUUGAGCCUCAUCUUCUGACGAGGGACUUCC